rnacentral:misc_RNA from 1 species
UCUCCGUUGGUGAACCAGGGGAGGGGUCAUUACAGAGGUUUCUAACUCCCAAACCCAUGUGCACUUACCAUUGUUGCCUCGGCGGAGCCUACCCUGUAGCUACCCUGUAGGGUGGUUACCCUGUAGCGCCCCGCCGGUGGAUUUUCACACUCUUGUUAUUUUUAGUAAUCUGAGCGUCUUAUUUUAAAUAAGUCAAAACUUUCAACAACGGAUCUCUUGGUUCUGGCAUCGAUGAAGAACGCAGC